rnacentral:rRNA from 1 species
UGCCUUUUAAAUGGAGGCUAGUAUGAAUGGCAAGACGGAGGUUUAGCUGUCUCUCUUUUAGAAACUUGAAUUUAUUAUCCCCGUGAAGAAACGGGGAUAAAGUCGUAGGACGAGAAGACCCUAUCGAGCUUUAGCUAUAAGUUAAAGUUAAGAGUUUUUUAUUGUUGGGCUAAUAAAGUUAAAAAUUGAUUUUACUUGAUAAUAAAAAAAAUUGUUAGCGAAAUGUUUUGGUUGGGGCAACCACGGAGAAAAAUCACCCUCCGUUUGUAAAACAGAAAAAGUUACUGUUUUGUGAAAUUUAAAUUAUUAAGAAGUGAUCCACUGUAAAAGUGAUCAAAGGAACAAGUUACCGUAGGGAUAACAGCGUAAUUUUUUUGGAGAGUUCAUAUUGAUAAAAAAGUUUGCGACCUCGAUGUUGGAUCGGGACUUCCAGGAGAUGCAGAAGUUUCCAAGGGUUGGUCUGUUCGACCAUUAAAGUCCUACGUGAUCUGAGUUCAGACCGGAA